CCGGAUGUCGAUGCACCAUGUCACGACUAUUAGCGAUUUCUGCAAGAUCCGGCUUCGUCAGACGGUGUCGAAUGGCUCUGUUGGUGACAAAUUCGAGGUUGUUGAGUGAUUCGGAUUCAAACAAGUUGAUUCAUAAGGAGAUCUGGUUGAAGAGUUGAAGAAAGUUGGAAUUUGUUCCACUCUCCUUGAUCAUGAGAAAUGAGUUUACACAUGUAAACAUUAUGCCCGGUACUAUCGUGUUGUUAGUACAUUUAGGUAUGAGUAGUUGUCAGAAGUUUAGAGAGUAAAUAUCUUUGCAUCCCUACAUUGAUAUACUGAGGCGUGAUGGAGAGCCAUGUGACCAUGCCCCUUUCUGUUGUGCGACCCAGAUUAGAAGCCUCAUUAUGCUCGGCAAUAACAAUUUAUCUAUUGCUACACCGGUAAAUAUUGUUGUUAACUGUAGACAGCAAACCACAUUUCUGCUCACAAACUGUGUAUGUUUAUAACAAAAUUUCCAUCUAGCAGCACAUCAUACUGUAUGCAGCAAUCCUACAUAACAAGCAGCUGUUACAACAAUCAUUCUUAGCAGACACUUGUCUAGUCAGAGAAGCAUAGAUACACACAAAAAUGGAAAGAUAAGUACAUGUGAUGG